rnacentral:lncRNA from 1 species
ACAUUCCUAUACUUGCUUAAUAUUUUUUUGAAAAUGUAUAUCCACUAAGAUUUAAUGUCACAUGACAGGAAGUUGCUACGCCAAGUUGAUAGUACGAAUAUCCAAAAAGGGGUUGAUGGGGUUUCAGAUAUUUUUUUUGUUUCAUUAUGAUUCUACCACUUUUUAUAAACCUAUUUGUGAUGAAAGUUUCAUGUUACCGCUACUAUAUAGUUUCUAUUAAUCAAAGUUUUAGUUGAUAAAAAUUGUGUGCCUGAUUUUU